rnacentral:rRNA from 1 species
UACAGAGGCCCCAAGCGUUAGUCGGAAUCACUGGGCUUAAAGGGUGCGUAGGCGGAUCGGUAAGUGUUCUGUGAAAGCCCCCGGCUCAACCGGGGAACCGCAGGGCAUACUGCCAAUCUUGAAGAAACUAGAGGCCGGCGGAACGAUAGGUGGAGCGGUGGAAUGCGUAGAGAUCUAUCGGAACGCCAAUGGUGAAGACAGCCGGCUGGGGUUUUCUUGACGCUGAGGCACGAAAGCGUGGGGAG